CCUACGGGGGGCAGCAGUGGGGAAUAUUGGACAAUGGGGGCAACCCUGAUCCAGCCAUGCCGCGUGUGUGAAGAAGGCGCUCGGGUUGUAAAGCACUUUCAGUGAGGAAGAACGCCUGGUGGUUAAUACCCAUCAGGAAAGACAUCACUCACAGAAGAAGCACCGGCUAACUCCGUGCCAGCAGCCGCGGUAAUACGGAGGGUGCGAGCGUUAAUCGGAAUUACUGGGCGUAAAGCGCGCGUAGGUGGCUUGAUAAGCCGGUUGUGAAAGCCCCGGGCUCAACCUGGGAACGGCAUCCGGAACUGUCAAGCUAGAGUGCAGGAGAGGAAGGUAGAAUUCCCGGUGUAGCGGUGAAAUGCGUAGAGAUCGGGAGGAAUACCAGUGGCGAAGGCGGCCUUCUGGACUGACACUGACACUGAGGUGCGAAAGCGUGGGUAGCAAACAGGAUUAGAUACCCUAGUAGUC
rnacentral:rRNA from 1 species